rnacentral:lncRNA from 12 species
CCACCCAUGAUUUAAAAACAGCAGCAGAGCAGAAACCCGUGGAGGACAUCCAAUAUCCUGGUCAACACACCACUUUUUGGAAGCCAGGAGUGCUCUCCUUUGUGCAGCAGAAAACACACCUUUCCCCAGACCUUUUGGAAGAACUCUAGCAAUGACAGUUUGGAAAAGCUUCAGUGCUGAGGAGGCAGAGCAGCA